rnacentral:ribozyme from 12 species
UCGCCAGGAAGCUCACCCCAGCUCCGGAUUCUCGAGUUGUGCUGGCAAAGCUCGGAGCCCGGGAACGGCGGCGAGGGAGCAGCAUCGGCACUCGG